UACGAAGGGGGCUAGCGUUGCUCGGAUUGACUGGGCGUAAGGGGCGCGUAGGCGGUUCGUACAGUCAGACGUGAAAUUCCCGGGCUCAACCUGGGGGCUGCGUUUGAUACGUGCGGACUUGAGUGCGGAAGAGGGUCGUGGAAUUCCCAGUGUAGAGGUGAAAUUCGUAGAUAUUGGGAAGAACACCGGUGGCGAAGGCGGCGACCUGGUCCGAUACUGACGCUGAGGCGCGAAAGCGUGGGGAGCAAACAGG
rnacentral:rRNA from 1 species